rnacentral:rRNA from 1 species
GUCCUUGCUGUAAACGAUGUAUACUUGGUGUAACCGGACUCAACCCUGGUUGUGCCGUAGCUAACGCGAUAAGUAUACCGCCUGGGAAGUACGCUCGCAAGGGUGAAACUCAAAAGAAUUGACGGGGACCCCGCACAAGCAGUGGAGCAUGUGGUUUAAUUCGAUGCAACGCGAAGAACCUUACCCAGGCUUGACAUACAGAGGAAUAUGGGAGAAAUUUCAUAGCCCGCAAGGGUCUCUGUACAGGUGCUGCAUGGCUGUCGU